UACUAUCUUCUAUGAUUUAAAAAGUUUUUCAUCAACUUUAUCGCUGAGACUCAGCUUAAUAAAUAAAAUCGAAUCAUCCCUGCACCACGGCCAAGGAUAUUCAUGUAAUCAUCAAUGGUCAUGAUUAUACCGAAUAAUCCCUGGUCAUAAUCAUACCAACAACUGUCCAUCAAUGAACUACAGGCCAAUGAGGACUUUUACCACAUCAUUCGUCACAUUACGGUCAUGAUUAUACCGAAUAAUCCCUGGUCAUAAUCAUACCAAGUCCAUCUAUGCACGUAAGCCAAAGAUGACUUUCAUCACAAUAUAAGCAUGAGGAUGAUGACAAUGACAUAAUAAUUCAAUAAAACAAGUUCAAGGAUAAAUUUUAAAGAUUUAUAAUUUAAUUUAUCCAGAAAUCAAUAACGUCCAAAUUGUCAACAUGAUACUGCUUUGUAGAGUAAAAUUCAAGAAUAAUAUUCAUGUACCACAAAUAAUUUGGACAGAAAAGAAAUAUAUUUUUCGGAUGAAUAGUACCCCGUGAAUAGUACUUCGGGAAUAGUACCCCAUGAAUAGUACCCCGACACGAAAAGUGUCCCGAAUACCCGAGUGAAUGAUACUAGAGUGAAUAGUAAUCAGGUGAAUAGUAACCCGUGAAUAGUAACUCGUGAAUAGUACUCCAGCACGAAAAGUGCCCCGAAUAUCCGAGUGAAUAAUACUAGAGUGAAUAGUAAUCAGGUGAAUAGUAACCCGUGAAUAGUAACUCGUAAAAGAAAAAAUACUAAAGAAAAUGAUAUUUCAUGACGAGUACAAAAGAAAUGAUAUCUCAUACAAGUAUAACAGAAUAUACGAAACUGCAAAUAGAUUUUCACCCGAUGCGGUAAUCCACGUAGACAGAUCAUUUCCAUAAUUUAAUAAAGAAUGAAUACGAAGGAUCAUUCACCAUGCAUGCGGUAGUCCACACCAGACAGGUUAUUCCAACAGGAUAAUAAAGAAUGGAAUAACAAAAGAAUUCACCAGGAAUGCGAUAGACCGCACAGACAGGUUAUUCCAAUAUAAUAAUAAAGAAUGGAACCAGGUCAUGCGUAAUCCGCAUAGACAGAAUAUUCUAACAAAAUAAUAAAGAAUGGAAUAACAACAGAAUUCACCAGGCAUGCGAUAGACCGCACAGACAGGUUAUUCCAACAGAAUAAUAAAGAAUGGAAUAACAGAAGAAUUUCACCAUGUAUGCGGUACUUCGCAUAGAGAAGUUAUUCCAACAGAAUAAUAAAGAAUGGAAUAACAACCCUUAUAAGUAUUGAAAGAAAAUAACUAUCUUCAUGAAUACGAAAGAAUAAUACCCCUUACCUUAGAACAAAACUGAAUACUGGAAUAGUGAGGUAGCAGACUUCUCUUCUUCUUUCUCUCUAUAAUUUCUCUCUAUAGUGAGAAAUGAAGGAAGAAUGAGCUUCUAUUUAUAGAAAAAUAUAGUUUCAAUAAUUGCACGUUUUGGGGCUCGAAAUAUUACAGUAUAAUACCUUCCUCUUUUUCUUCAUUUUUAAUUUAGUCCUGCAAGUAAUAUCAAACUUGCACCAUCUCCCCUAAUAGUAAAUCAUGUGAAUCAAUAGUUCUAGAUAUGUGAAAAUAUGAAUUACAGUAUAAUACCUACAUCUAUACCUCCAUUUUUAACUUAGUCAUGCAAGUAUUAUCAAUCCUUCACUAACUCCCCUAAUAGUAAAUGAAUGUGAAUCAAUAGUACACACAUGUGAACAAAUAGUUAUAAUCAUGUGAAUCAAUAACAAUUAAUUGCUCAUUUAUCCGGUUAAUUACCCGAUUGGUCAAUAUAACCUCCAGACAUCAAUUAUUAUCGAAAUAAAUGUUGAUUUUCACUAACACUAAUAAUUCCAACACAAUGGAACUAUCAAUUUCAUCUUUAACCAACACGAACUUAUUCAUCAUUAAUAUUAUAAUUCACUAUAUUUAACAACCAGGUCGUUCCCAGGAAAGAGGGGGCUUUUCGAUAAGGAUUUCUCCUUAUUAGGGCGCAAUUAGGUGACCAAAUCUCUCAUCGACAGAACUUCUAGACAUUGUCAAUAUUACAAAUAAUAAUAUGAAUAACUUUGUCAUCUCAAUUAUUGAUUUAAUAAUAUAACAUAUUAUGCAGAUGAUACUGUAACAAUAAUUGAAUCAAUAAUAUGAGAGAUUUGAUGCAGCAAUUACUGUAGCAAUAAUUAAGUAAAACUGAGUGACUUUUUACGUAAGCAUCAAAAAUCAAUACCGUGCGCUACUAUGCAACCACGCGUAUUACUGUACUUUUACUACCGGGUAGUUCAACAAUUUUAACGGUAACACUUUCGCCAUUAUUUUUAUAAAAAGAUAAUUCUGUCAUUUUUCUAACUACGACAAUACUUCCGUUGUGGGGUCCACCAAUGAUUGUGCUGUCGUACGGAUAUUCCCCGACAAAAAGAAUAUUCCCCAACCAAUCAAAUAUUAUAUAACAACUUGCAUACUUUGCAAAAUUUAUAAAUAUUACCCACAACUAUAAUAUUAUAUCAAAUCCGCACCAUAAUAUUCAAAAAAAUAUUUCGAGAAAUUUAAAUCUUUAUUCAUAAAAUUUGGGGUCUCACAAUCUCUCCUCCUUAUGAAAUCUCGCCCUCAAAAUUUACGUACGUACCUGCUAUGCCGAGGAGAUGAGGAUACUUUGACUUCAUUUCAGAUUCUAACUCUUGAGGUUUUGAGUGUAGAAUACGAUCCUUCUUAUCCAAGAUUUUAAUAUGUAUCUCCUCAUACGUUAAAUGUUCUGCUAUCUCGUCUAGUUCUAAUUUAAUAAUGUGGUUCAGGUCGUCCACAUAUUUACAUAACAUCGAUACGUGAAAAACGUUAUGAACACGCGACUUACUUAGCGGUAAAAUGAGUCUAUAGGCCACAGUUCCUACUUGAUCGAGGAUUUCAAAUAGGCCAAUUAAAUUGAGGGUUGAGAUUUCCUCUAUUCGUCGAUUCUUGCUUCGUGAAUAACGCCCUCUUAAACCUUCUUCUUCACAUUCAUCAGCUUCGGGUGUGUAGCUUGAGCAGCUUUAACUUUAUCGAUUAAAGUCAAUUCUACUCGUAUAUUCGUUAUCUUCACGUUGGUCCCUAGAGUCUUUAACUCUAUCUUAAUCAUUUGUAAGUUAUACGAAAUAAGUUUUUGUGUAACAACAUCGCACUCGUAAACGCAUACGAUCUUCUACUCAACGCGUCAGCUACCACGUUCGCUCUUCCACGAUGAUAUUGAAUGGUAUAGUCGUAAUCUUCAAUAGCUCGAGCCAACGUCUUUGGCGCAUUAUACGUUCAUUUUGGUUGAAAAAAUAUUUAAGGGUUUUAGAAAUGGGUUUUGUACUAGGGUCAAUACAAAAUUCGAUUUCACGCUCUAGAGUUAGGCUAAGAAGUCUUCAAGAAUACGCCGGGAAAUUUAUUAACGAUAGAAAUAUCAUUUAAAAACUGUGACUCUCAUCCAAGACUUGGAUAGCACAUGAAAUGAAGGUUUCUCCUAACGGAGUUUCAACCGAUAAGUCAAAGUCUAACUUCUCUGGGGUCAAAUUUAAACGUUGAGCGCAAGCAAGAGAGAUAAAAGAAUGGGUAGAACCGGUAUCUAAUAAGGUAUAGACUUCGCAAGAAUUUAUAAUUAACUAACCCGUGCUAACUUCGUUCGGGUUACUCGCUUUUUGAGAAGUCACGAAAAACGCUCUUCCUGAAACCACCGACUUUGUUUUGGCCGUAUCCGUCUUUGGUGCCACCGUCCCAGCUGCACUUGACUUUGGUGCACGACAAAAUCGGGCUAGGUGACCUUCUUUUCCACAAUUGUAACAUGUUUUGGACUGCAUCGUGCAGCUUGGACUGAUAUGUCCCUCCCCUCCUCCGCAUUUGAAGCAUACAAUUGGUGGUCGUUCUCCUUCCUUGAAAACGGGUGUUGGUGCUGCUGUCUUUCCAUCGUUGUUGAACAUUCUCUUCUUGAAAUUUCCACUCCUAUUAUCUUGGCCAUGAUUACCACCGAAGUGGUUACCAUUCUUGGCAUGAUAAUUUCCUCCACGAUGGUUAUCAUUGUUCCGAUGGCCAUUGCCACCAGUAUGAUUAUUAUCAUGUUACUGGUCAUUACCUUUUGGUUGUGAUGACUCAUUAUCGCGCUCCAAUAACUGAGCCCUAUUCACAACAUCUGAAUAUAAACAAAGUUUGUGAGAAAUGAGGUAUUGACGUAUUUCGGGUUUCAAACCUCUUAGAAACAUUCGCAUCAUUCGCUCCUCAUUAUCAACCAAAUGGGAUGCAAACCGGGAUAACUCCGCAAAUUUAGCCUCGUAUUACAACACGAUCAUAUUGUUUUGCUCCAACUUGAUAAACUCCACCUCCUUCAUGUGACGAAUACUUUCGGGAAAGUACUUGUCAUUGAACAGCUCUUGGAACUUCUCCCAAGACAUCUUGAGUGCGUCAGGCUGGGUACGUUUUACAGAUUCCCACCAGUAAUCUGCCUCUUCACGCACCAUAAAGGUGGCAAAGGGAACCUUUUGCUCCUUGGAGCAUCCCAAGACAUCAAAUAUUUUGGUGAUCUGCUUUAACCACGUCUCCGCCUUAAGUGGUUCUGGCUUCCCCAAAAACUCUGGUGGUCCCAGCUCCUUAAACUACUUAGCGGUGACCAACCGUGGGUUGCCAUUAUUUCCACCUAUAUUUUGAACAGAACUAUCUCUUACUUGAUGUUACAUGAAUUGCAUAAAGCCUCUGAACAUCCCAUCGUUCAUCAUUUGAUCGGUGUUGUUAUUUACCUGAGGAUUAUUGUCUUCCCGUUGCACAUUAUCCUGGGUAUUGAUCGUUGGGGACUCAACGGUCUCAUGUGCUUCAUUGCUGAUCUCAACAUUUUCAGAUGCUAACGAAGGAAUUCCCCGUCUCUCCCCUCCUAGUUCUUGUCUCACAUCUCAGCCAAGGAUCAUAUCCUAAGCUUUGAUACCAACUGUGACGCCCCUAAAACAAGUAUACACCACCCAUCUUGGGUCGCCAGAUACAUGGUACAAAAAUUCAAAUACAACUUAAUUAUACAACAUUCGUGUAAAAUACGACAAAACAUAACUGAGAGUUUAAACAAGAAUAUUGUCAUCUAGACAAUAUCCAUACUCAAUGGAGUUACAAUUAUUAUCACACUAUUCCAUAGAAUAGUGAGGACUACUAAUGCUAUUAUCUGGACCGUCAAUCCGUUCCCCGACUCGUCCCAGCUAUAUUCUUAUUUCCUGAAGAGAACAGUGAAAGAAAGGGUGAGCUCAACUAGCCCAGUAAGAAAUAUUUUGACUAAGAUAAUGCAUAAUAAAUUAUCAUUAGCCUUCAACAAUGUUAAACUGAUAAAAUACAAUAGACAUCAAGUUUAACUGUAGCGGAAUAAGCAAUCCAUUAGAAGAGUCAAGUAGAGCAUGAUAUAUACUAUCUUCUAGGUUUUAAAAGGUUUUCAUCAAUUUUUAUCGCUGAGACUCAGCUUAAUAAAUAAACCACAUCAUCGAGUCAUCCCUGCACUACGGCCCAAGGAUAUUCAUUAAAUCAUCAAUGGUCAUGACUAUACCGAAUAAUCUCUGGUCAUAAUCAUACCAAAAACUGUCCAUCAAUGCACUACAGGCCACUGAAGACUUUUACCACAUCAUUUAUAACAUUACAG
rnacentral:lncRNA from 1 species